CAGAGUUGCAAAACUCCCACAAACCAUCGCGAAUCUUACCCGUACGGUUGCCUCGGCGCUGGCGGUCCGGAAGGCCCUCGGGCCCCCUGGAUCCUCGGGUCUCCCGCUCGCGGGAGGCUGCCCGCCGGAGUGCCGAAACCAAACUCUUGAUAUUUUAUGUCUCUCUGAGUAAACUUUUAAAUAAGUCA
rnacentral:misc_RNA from 1 species